GAUGAACGCUGGCGGCGUGCUUAACACAUGCAAGUCGAACGGACAGGCCCUGAUUUUGCGGGGUGCUCGAGUGGCGAACGGGUGAGUAACACGUGUGUAACCUGUACUUGUCAUUGGGAUAACUCUAGGAAACAGGGGCGAAUACCGGAUAGGAGCUCCUGCAGCGUGGUGGGGGUUGGAAAGUUUCGGCGGUUGGGGAUGGACUCGCGGCUUAUCAGCUUGUUGGUGGGGUAGUGGAUUACGAAGGUUGUGACGGGUAGCCGGCAUUGGAGGGUGGCCGGCGACAUGAGUACUACGAUAGGGACCAGUAGGCAAUGGGACGCAGUAGGCGGGAGUAUUGCGCAGUAGGCGGAAGCCUGAGACAGCAACGCCGCGUGCGUGAUGACGGCCUACGGGUUGUGAACCACUGUCUCCGGAAACAUAGCGUGAGUGACGGUAAUUAGUAAAAAAGCACCGGCUAACUACGUG
rnacentral:rRNA from 1 species